AGCAAUUGACAUAACUAUUUUUUGUAGGUUGGAAAAGUCGUGAAAGUGUCCCCAAACUAGUGGAGGAUUACUUGAAAGGAAUAGUUAAAGUAGAUGAGUUUGUGAGUCACAACAUGCCCCUGGAAAAAAUCAAUGAAGCAUUUGACCUUAUGCAUUCUGGGCAGAGUAUCCGUUCUGUGGUCAACAUGUGAAGAGGCUUCUUGCUUAACACACCAGGACUGUGCUAUUUGAUACUUAUAAUGCAGACUUGGAGGGCAGCAAAUUAUGAAACAAAUUGUAAAACCUACAGGGUAUUACCCAAUUUAUCUAGUUUUUUCCCUUUAAUCUAGAAAAGAUGAACUUUAAUAUUACAGCCUCCUAAAAUGCUGUUAAUCAUUGGGAACCAAGAAAGAUUUGAAAGUAAUUAUGCUCCCAGAAUGCUGUUAAUCAUUGGAAAACUUAUGGUGAAAAUUAUAACAAACAUCAGAAAAAUUACUUAACUGACAAAAUGCUAUUUGUUAGCGGAGACAUCCAAGGGUUAUUUAUGUCAAGGGUCACUUUUUCUGUAUCAGUGCCAAUAAAAGGUUACUACGGUUA